rnacentral:lncRNA from 1 species
CUAUCUUUGCCUAACAUUUGUGGCAUGCUAGACUUAGGCUUUGGUUUUGCCAUGGGAUCUGACAGCAUGCAUGUGCCUCUGCAGGGAAGGGCUCUGACCCGGUGGUGCCAGGGUCAAGCUGUUUGCCCUGCCUGCUGCAUUACCUCUAUUGCUUCUGCUGGAUCCAGCCUAGAUAAACUGUUACUCCAUGGACACAGCUACACCUUUCCCUUGUAGAGAAAAUCCUAGAUGACAGCAAACUUGUUUCCUGACCACCUUGUCAUGUGUAGUCAUGGUCUGGUAAGUGGACAGGAAUUGCUGCUCUUCUGAUUUAAUAUUUUGCGCUUGCUUUGGGAAGAUAUAAACAGAAGAAAAUACAAAGCAGAGAAGAAAGAUUAAAUCAUUCAAAGAUAAAUCUUUAAUAGCUGUAUGCAAACUCUGUAAAUUAACUCAUCUAGAGCAAUUAUACUUACUAGAAAUAGUACUUUUUUUUUCUGAUAGCUUCUUAAAUAUUUUUGUUUGUUUGUUUGUAAUCAAAUGUUUCCUUUAAUUACUGGAUUACAAACUUUUAAAGCAAUUAUUGAAAAGACACCAUACCAAUCAAGCACCUGUGACACCACCAAUUAUGCCUGCCAAAUAUAUGUUUUGGUAUGUCUUUUACCAAGGCUCCUACUUUAAAUACAUGACAAAGAGACCAUGAGCUCCUUAUUCUGUGAUAUGCAAUCAAAAUGGAUCUUCC